rnacentral:lncRNA from 1 species
UAAGAAAAGUCAAUUAUCACAUAUAAACAUCAAUUCUACUACUGUGACAGGUUCAACGACAUGCUAAAAAACAAGGGGUACGUGUCGACGCAUAAUUGGGUAAAAAAAAAAAAUGAAAAAACAAUUUCUAUCAAACUUUUUUUUUCAAUUUUGGUCAAAUUGUUCUCUUUUUUUGUUUCCAUUUGCCAAAGCAUCUGCAAAGCAGAUUGUACAAGUAGCAAAAUUGAAUUUGAUUAAUCUCGCAAACAUCACCUUGCUUAAUGGACCUCCGUGGUCCCUGGAGCUCCACUCCGCUGCGCUGGGCAGCCUUCUUCUCAUUCAUAUGUUCACAAGUUCGAACCAAUCAGCACACGCAUGUUUUAAUACGCCUAACUGUUGACGACUCUAUCG